UGGAACAUUUAAAGUAGAUUCACAUUUACAAUAAACAGCAUGCUUUGAUUAGGAUUUGACCAAUCUGGAUUUUUAGUAGCUCAAACUACUUUUUGACAUUUCUAGAUUUAAGCUGUUGAUAUUAUAGGAGCCAUUCAUAAUGUGAAUACAUGUAGGAUGUCACCUGUCCUUUAGGGGUCACUAUCAUGGAAUUGGGUGUGUUCAUUUCGGUAGGAACCAUCAUGCACCAAAGUGUUGUUGCUAGACGUCUAAGCACAUAUGGUUAUUGACCGCAAUACCCUGUCGUGUCAUGCUGAGUGUAAUGGUAAAAAGUUGUGCUUUGAUUAAUGUUUGUGGAUACAGAUGGUGAGUUCGUGCGUGCUGAGUGAAGACCACGGUGGUGACAACUAUAACAGCAUCAAGCACAAGAAGAUUGGAGUCUUGUUUUCACUAGACCAACAGCUGAUGGACGACUGGCAAGCGUGUCAAUUAAUAGCCGCUAUACAUUCACUCAGAAACUGUGCUAAGUUGCUUCAAGAGCUUCAUCGUCGCCCACGUGAACGGCGAAAGUUUUCCGCGUGAGCUACGCUGGAAUAGGAAGUAAAAGGAGUUUCCCGAUCGCAAACUCCAGCUUCUCCACGAGGACGCUGACACUUGCUGACUGAUUUUCAACGCCCCUCUUCCCACUCAUCAAGAUCAUCUACCCGGGUGGCAGCGACAAUACAAAGAAGUCCUGCCCCUGCAACGUUACGGCGCCCAGGGAGGUAAAUGUAAGCCUUCUCGAGCGUCGCAUCUUGUCUUCCUGAAAAGACUCUACCCUGCAAUUCUCCCCCCACCAGGAUUCUCUGGACUCUCACCCUCAGAUUUCAUUACCGGCCUUCCCGUUUCUAAAGUUUGUCGUCAGGUCUCCACCCCGAAACCAAUGGCCAGGCAGAAAGAACCAACCAGGACCUAGAAUCCACUGGACACUGUGUGGCCGCUGCAAAUCAUACCACCUGGAGCACACAACUGGCAUAGGUGUAGUACUUGCAUAACUCUUUAACCUUUUUCUGCCACUAAUUUGUCCCCAUUUGAAGCCUUUCUGUGCUAUCAGCCCCAACUUUUUUCUCAGCAGGAGAUGGAGCUGGCAAUACCCUCGGUUCAGCACCUCGUCCAAAGGUGCGAAAGGAUCUGGAGGAAAACCCAAGCAACCCUCCUUCGGACCUGUAAUAACAACUAAUGUUCGGCCAAUCUACACAGGAACCCAACCUCAGAGUAUGAACAAGGUGGAGUGCCAUCACUGGAUGUUCUGGAGGGCCUGGCUGCUGCAGGAUUGGCACCUCUGGGAUUGGAGGGACUUUUAAACAGAGGAUACCCACAGCUCUUCCCUUCCUGCCUCCUCCACUCCCAACAGAGCCAGUUCAGGGAUAGUGCGUUUUCUCUGCAGAUUUGUGAUUUGUAAUCGAUCAGUGCCUUUUGACCUUGUUUUGUAUUUAACUUUGACUUUGAGUUCGUAACUUGUGUAAAUAUUCUUUUUGGUUUAAUGAUGACCCUGUAUAUAUUUUGAGCACUUUAUUUGAGCAGUAUUAGGAGUGAGUAGCCAUUUCUCUUUUACUGAAUGUUUUCCAGUCAGGAGUGUAUAUAAGAGACCUGUAUCUUAAUUAACUUUUUGUUUUCUGUUCGGUAGGUUUAGGGAUUGAGUUGUAUUUUUGUGUUUUUGUAUUUUUGGCUAACUCACAUCCGAGUAAAUGAACUGCUCUUUUUUGCUUUUGAUAAUUGUAAGCUGGUUGUUCUUGAGAAUGGGAAACCACCUUCAUGUUGUGUCCAGGUUCCCCCUAGGCCUGGGACAUAACACUAUGCUAUGACAUGUCUCAGCAUACUAUUUGG